CAUCCGAUGGCUGAAAGCAAGCAAUGGUCUCUUAAACCAAUCUAUAGUAGAGUAGCACCUGCUUCUGAUG
rnacentral:tRNA from 1 species